rnacentral:lncRNA from 1 species
GGAGCGGGGAGAUGCCUGACUCGGGUCGUGGCUGACGACCCGACGGUUCGCCUGCGGCCGCCUCCAACAACGGUGGAAACCGCACACAGGGACCGCGGGCCCUCGGUGCAGCAAAUCGGAAAGUGCUGCGGUCGGCGGCCCUGGGCUCUGAGCGCUCAAGCGAGCAGAGGGGUGGAGGGGCUCUCCCCACCCACAGGAGGCUCUCGGCGGGGCGCAGCCAAUUCUGCGCGCCCAAGGCUCCCCUCUGCCGUGGAUCGCGUGUGCCGAGUGUUGGCCUCUUCCCCGAAAGGGCCAGACGGACCAAGGGGGCCUUCCCAGCCGGCUGCAAGCUCUCAGACGCUAAAAUGGGAACAAAGCUUCCAGAAAGGCAGCGCCUUUGGGCGGCCGCGCCCCGCCCAGCCGCGGGGGCCAUUGAUACAGAGGCUUGCUGCGCUUGGUGUGCGCGGCCCGGCCGGGCCUCUGGAAACGCCCAUGAGAAAUGAGCUCAUGCUGGAUGCGCGCGCUCCUUGGGCGCAACUGCCCAGCGCAAAACGGGCCCCGAAAGCAGGUGAGGGGAAAUGCCGUCAGGCCGGAUAUCCUGAAGCCUCCGAGGAAAUGGGGGGGUCAGAGGAGCCCGUGGUAGCUUUGGAUCUUUUGGAACUAGGGUGAUCUAUAAAAGUGCAGCUUGAGAAGAUUUCAUACAUAAGACCAGCGUCCAUUGUUCUACCAUAGAACCAGUUCCUUUGGUCUGCUUUAGAACAGUGAGGUAUGGCUACGUCAAGAUAACAGAGAAAGUAGAACAGACAGUUGCCAUCCUGAUUGUAAUCCAGUGGUGCCUGUAAUUUCUACCUGCAGAGUCAUCUCUUUCUGUUAAGAUGCUGUCUCCAGAAAGCACAUGUUAAAGGACCUAUAUUUGAUCAGA